rnacentral:lncRNA from 1 species
GGCCUGUCUGUAUUUUUACAAUUUUCAUUUCCCUUUGUUCUGCAGUAUGAGCAAUGCAAUCAUUGCUUAAUGGAAAACAUUUUAAAUUAAAUCUCUUGAAAAUUUUUCCUACCCUGAACAAAAUUUGACUAUAGUGCUUUGGCAUCUAUAGGGCUUUAAGUGGCUAAAGGCACAUACUACUGUGAAGAAAUUUUGACACAUUGUGAAAAAAAUGUGUAUCUACAGGGGUUCAAAUUUACUUUAGGCAAUGGAAGGUCCAGGACCUUUGACCAAACAUGCAGAUCUUGCGUGGUUUGUUUGAUACAUAAGUGCAUAAUGAUGACCUACAGAUCGAGUAUGCCUUUUUACCCAGUUACCAAAUUUUCAGGAAGAAAUAUCGUGCUUGGGCAUAUUCUUAAAGACUGAAAGGUCCUCCUUUAUUCUUAGAAGGUCCAAUUUAAAUUGAACUUGAAUUU